GAUUGCGGCGACGUGGGCGGUCUGCUGCCCGCGACGUUGUGAGAAGUCCACUGAACCUUAUCAUUUAGAGGAAGGAGAAGUCGUAACAAGGUUUCCGUAGGUGAACCUGCGGAAGGAUCAUUG
rnacentral:rRNA from 1 species